UCGUCUACUGGCAGUAAAAUUUCUCUAAAAGUUUGUUUAGGAGCUCCGAGGACAUUGUGUGUGAUGAAUGAAAAAUUGGAGAGACAUCUAACAAUCCAUAGCUCUUUUCAUGACUCUGCUGUUGAAGCCAAUUUUCCAGUCAUGCCAUGUCAUGUGAGGUGCAAGAGAACAGUGUGAGAGAGAAAGUCAUUUGCAAAGGUUGAUCAACAGUUUCAGCUUCCUGUUGAAGGCGUGGUUUGUGAAGCUGAUCUAUUUAUGGCAACUUCCCUCCAGAAAGCAAAACUAGUUGGUACAAGUGCUGAGCUACACAGAGAGAAGGACUGUCAGCACAGUUUAUGGUUAGAAAAACACAUUUUAGGUUUCGAGUUGGCACGGUAGAGAGAAACAAGGUUAUUUUGAUGAUAAGUUUGGGGUUUAGAAGCAAGGAAGUCUAUAUUUUAAGUGGAUACAUUGAGAUCAUAAAAACUGAAAGGUAGUUAAAAUGUUUAGGGUCAGUCAUUGCAAAAACAGGCUCAGGUAAAGUCCAGGUGGGUGACGGUUGAGUAUUUGUUCAGCUACAGUAACUUUGUCUCAUAAAUCUCAGUUCCUGACACCAUGUUUGAACUUUGAGCCUUCUGCAAAUGAUGUUGUCUGACAGAGAAGCAAUGAACGAGCACCUGCUGAAAAUACUGAUCGUUGGCGAUGGAACUGUUGGAAAAACCUCCUUUGUGAGCCGCUACGUCAACGGACUGUUCAGCAAGAGCUACAAGGCGACAGUGGGAGUGGAUUAUGCUGUGAAGCUGCUGCACUGGUCCGAUAAAGAUAAAGUUAGACUGCAACUAUGGGACAUCGCAGGCCAGGAGCGUUUCAUAUCCAUGACCAGGAUCUAUUAUAAAGGCGCAAUGGGAUGCGUCGUGAUGUUUGACGUCACCAACACGUCCAGCUUCCUUAACUGUCGCCAUUGGAAACGAGACCUUGACAACAAGGCAAUGCUGCCCAACGGAGACUCCAUCCCCUGCAUCCUGCUGGCCAACAAGUGUGACCUUCCUCAGCGGGUCGUGUCAGCGGACAGCAUCGACAAGUUCAGUCAGGCCAACGGCUUCAUCACGUGGAUGGAGAUUUCAGUAAAAGAGAACAAGAACAUUGGAGAGGCUAUGAGGAGGUUGGUGCAGAAUAUUUUGUCCGUUCAGUCCAGCCUGGACCCCCUCCAACCUGGACCCCAAGACAGCGUUUACCUUCAACUGGACUCAGAGUGCACCAGUAGAGGAGAAGGCUGCUGCUGAAUCACAGGAACAAGCAAACACAGCCAAGACCUGCUCAUUAGUUUCAAGUUGUUUCAAGCGCCACCGGGCAAGGCACUUCACCCUCAAGGGCUGACAUUUCACGAGCACGCUCAAUGACUCGUGAGUGAUGACGCUGGAAAUGUUGGGAGAGUCCGUUUGGGGAUUGUUCGCGUCAACGUUCCUCCACCAACCACUCCUCCACCAUCUCCUGAGAGGACACAAUAACUGAUGUUUUCCUUUUGGAUUCAAAGCUGAUGAGGAGAACACCAACCAACACCAAUCUGCCCAGCCUAUGAUGUAUAAAAUAUUGUAACAUAUUUAUUUCCUAACUACCUCAGGAGAUAGUUUUGCAGCUGCCAGGGGGAAUGUGGAAAGUUUGAAGCUCUGUAAUUUCUGGGGGAUACAUCUGACAAAAUGUGUCUAUAUUCAUCUCCCUGCAGAUUUGAUCCUGCACUGUGUAUGAAUGGAGUCAAAUUCAUAGCAUGGUAGCGUAUCAAUAUGCUCGUCCAGUAAAGUAGAUUCUUAAUGUGACUCUGAUUCUUUAACUUUGACAAUAAAACUUAUUGAAGUAUUCACACACCAGCAGCUCCCACAGCCACGGAACACUGUGAAAAACCUGACAAGAACACGAGGUGUUAAUGAGACAGUGGUAAAAUGCUGAUUAUGUUGUGAACCUCAGUGGUGACCACUGCUGAAUAUCAAAAUGUGAGCUGGCAGGAAACUUUAGCACAAUUACAAAAUCAGGGAGUAUCUGCACUCCACCCCCAUUUUGUAGCAAAACCGCCUAAAAUGACAUACCCAAAUUAAAA